AAGUCUGAUAUUAUCAUAUUAAAGAUUCCUCUGCCAUUAGUUUAAUUUCUUAUAAUAUAGAAUGCAUACUGUAGUUGCUCUGCUUACAACCUUAUCUAGGCAAACGCUUACCUGAGCUUGGGCUAAACAAAGUAAAUAAUAUUUUUAGACCCAGAAUUGGCUGCUUAAGCCCUUGUGUUUGCUUCAAAAGUCCACGGGAGAUGAAAUCCUGACUAUGCUUUCAGUGUUUGUGGACUGCAGUAUUAGUUCUUGCAAGCAGAAAGAAUUAUUGUCUAAAAUUUGAAAUUCCUAGUAUUAGUUCUUGCAAGCAGAAAGAAUUAUUGUCUAAAAUUUGAAAUUCCUAGUAUUAGUUCUUGCAAGCAGAAAGAAUUAUUGUCUAAAAUUUGAAAUUCCU
rnacentral:misc_RNA from 1 species